UUCUCAGCUUCUAGAGGCUGCCUUCAUCCCUUGGCUCGUGGCCCCCUUCACUCCUCAAAGCCAGCGAUGUCUGAUUGAGUCUUUCCUGCAUCCCAUCACUCAGAUGUGGACUUUCCACUGCCUCUUUCACUUUCAAGGACCCUGUGCUUACAGUGGGAUCACCAGAUUGGAGUGCAAUGGUGUGAUCUCGGCUCUCUGCAACCUCUGCCUCCCAGGUUCAAGUGAUUCAUUCUCCUGCCUCAGCCUCCUGAGUAGCUGGGAUUAUAGGCAUGCACCACCAUGCCCAACUAAUUUCAUAUUUUUAGUAGAGGUGAGGUUUCUAAUUCCCAUGUUGGUCAGGCUAGUCUCGAAUUCCCAACCUCAGGUGAUCCGCCCACCUCGGGCUCCCAAAGUGCUGAGAUUACAGGCGUGAGCCACUGCACCUGGCCAGUUUUUGUAGUUUCAACCAAUAAAACUGCUCAGAAAAGGAAAGACCAGGUGGCUUUGACACUGACCAGCCCUUAACUUGUCAUCCUAGGGGUUCUGACCCUCCAUCGAGUCCCCCUUUGUGUCAGUCCUAACCCUCCCCACCUGUAGGACUCCCUUCCACUGCCCAGGGGCUCGGCAUUGAUUACUGUCAGCAACUCCCAAUUCUUGAGCUCUGACUUGUGCCAAGUGCUUCUCUGAAUUACUUCCUUCUCUCUACCCCCCACCUCCAGCGGAAGGUCAUCUUAUUUUCCCUAUUUUCUUUUUUCAGAUAAGAAGACAAGCUCAGAGAGAGGACAGGACUUCCCCUAGCCAGCAAGUGGUGGAGCCAGCACCAAAAGCCAGGCUGUCUGCCUCCCAACCAGGCUCUUAGCUCCACACUUCCACUUUCACAGGGAAGAUGGUAUCUGCUAACCCCUCCCUCUGAUGAGGUCCAGUGUGUAGGUCAGAGCUGGAAAGGACCAGAGGAGUGACCUAAUCCUAUGAUUCUAACCAGUUCAUAAAUCCACCCCACCCCCAACACAUACCAGCCUCAUCAUCAUCAAAGAAACUGGACCUCCCCCGCCCCCCACUCCGUGAAAGAAGCAGAGGCCCUCUUUCAGGAAGAAGCAGAGGCCCUCUUUCAGGAAGAAGCAGAAGAGAGAUGUUUUUGCUGGUCUGUUUAUGGUGUAGGUAGGGGCAGGCUGAAUGAUGGUGAUUUCAGUGGGGUUAUUGGGAGCCAAUGUUAUUGCUAUGGCUUUAAAACACAAACAGAAAAGGAAUCUGUUAGUCACCGAGGAGUGUCCUAAGCCUGUUGAGUAAUCCGCCUGCUGGCCAUGGUACCUGUGAAGCACAGGGAUGAUACAUGAAAUUCCACAGCCAAAUUCUUGGACACUUGUGGGUGGGUGUGGGGCCCCUGGGGCACGGGGCUCAUGGGCUUCAUUCUGGAAACCUGCUUCCUACCAGUGGACUGAGCACCCUGCUCUAGUUCAACUUCUCAUUCCAUAGAUAGGGAAACAGAGGCCUAGAAAGGAGAAAUGGUUUGCCCAAGGUCACCCAGCAUCUUCAGGACAGGAUCAGGGCGGGAGGCCAGUUCCUGCUGGCUGUCUACAGUCUGGGAGGACAGUGAGUGCUCUCCAGCUGUGGCUGAGGUCCCAUGCUAUGUUCUCCAGCCCCUUCUGACCAGCUUUCCUCCUCCCUCUGACAGCUUUCCAUUCCCUGGCUGACCCCAGACCCUCUUCCCCUCCCCUCUGCAGAUAAGGCUGCCAGGUUUUCCAGAGAGGCUUGGUGACAGGGUGUGGCUUCCAGAAUGUCCAGAAGUAGGGAUGGGCUAGAGAGAGGUCAGGAUUUGUGUCUCGUCUCCCCUACCCUAAGCCUGUCCAUUCACAGCUGUGUGGGUGGAUCCAGAUACUCUCUGGGAUUUGUCAAGUAGGCAAAGAGACCAAAGAUUUCCCCAAAAUCCAAUCAGAAAGAGCCUGCCUGGUAGAAACAAAGACUGGGAAAGAUGUGGCCAGAGCUUUGACUUCUGAGCACUGGAGAUCCUAGCCAAUAGUGUGAGCCUGUCAUUUCCCUGGCCUGGGCCCCCACUUUCCUCUCCUUAAAAUGGUAUAGGGAUGUUCAUCCAUUCAGCAAGACUUUGCUGAGUGCCCAGUCAUCAAAGUCAAUACUUCAGUGCUUACCAUGUACCAGGUACUGAGCUAAGUCACUUUCUGUUCAUUCUCUCAUUUAAAUCCCACAACAACCUUAAAGCUAGGUUUUAUAUUUCCUAUUCAAAUGGUAGGAGAACUGAGGCUUAGGGAGUUAUAACCACACAUCCAGGGAUCCACAACAGAUCCAGAGUCCAUACCCAGGGGCCGAUGGGCCACAUUCUAAAAGUAUUUUCAGCUGGAACAGGAAUCUGAGGUCCAGCCAUGGAGGCAACCCUUAGAGGAGAAUCCUCACCCUGGGUACAGAACUGAGUCCUGGGGCCCAGCCACCCUGAGUCUGAGAGAAGGGCACCUGGUCACGUUCAUCAUGAUAUCACGGGUCACCUGGCUACCAGGGGGUCCUGUCAGCAGAGCUAGAAGGCACAGAGCUUUCCCAGUCCCUGACCCUCUGCCCGCUGUCUAAGCAGCCGGUGUGGGUGCUGUGAAGGAAGCUGGGUUCUCAUUCUAAAGCCACCAGGAAACCAACCCGGCAUCUCAUAGGCUUGCGAUUUGAUCCCUCAAAGAGUCCUGGGACCUGGGGAUACUGGCCUCAUUUACUAGAUGGAGACAUUGAGGCCCUAAAAUGUGAAGUGACUAGUUCAGAGCCACCCAGGGCUGUGAUUUGACCCGGGUCUGUCUGCGCAUAGCCCAUGGUUUUCACUGUCCCAAGCACCAAGCCAUAUUUGUAACAGGACAUCCCAUGAGGCACUACACCUCUGUGGGCCUCAGUCUCCAUAAUGUGGGGAAACUCAUGCCUGCCUUUGUUAAAUGUGCUGGGAGAUUUCAGUGAGAUCACAGAUGGAGACAUGCUUUAAAGUUCCACCCACGACUGACAUUUUGCUAUUAUUAUGUGAUUUCAUGAGAAUUGGUGACUCUUUAGGCUCAAAAGUAUCUUCUGCUCUGGCCUGCCCCGGAACCUAAAAUGUCACCUUUAGGGGCCAGGCACAGUGGCUCAUGUCUGUAAUCCCAGCACUUUGGGAGGCUGAGGUGGGAGGAUUGUUUGAACCCGGGAGUUUGAGACAAAACUUAGCAACAAAAUGAGACCCUGUCUCUAGAAAAAAUUUAAAAAUUAGCCAAGUGUGGUGGUGUGCACCUGUGGUCCCAGCUAUACAGGUGCAAGGGAGGCU
ensembl:lncRNA